rnacentral:rRNA from 1 species
CAGCCGCCACGGGAAUACGAAGGGGGCUAGCGUUGUUCGGAUUUACUGGGCGUAAAGGGCGCGUAGGCGGACUGAUAAGUCAGGGGUGAAAUCCCAAGGCUCAACCUUGGAACUGCCUUUGAUACUGUUUGUCUUGAGUUCGAGAGAGGUAAGUGGAACUGCGGGUGUAGAGGUGAAAUUCGUAGAUAUUCGCAAGAACACCAGUGGCGAAGGCGGCUUACUGGCUCGAUACUGACGCUGAGGCGCGAAAGCGUGGGGAGCAAACAGGAUUAGAUACCCCUGUAGUCCCUGUCUCUUAUAC